UUUCAUGCCCAGAGAAUGAAAGUAAUUGAAAUGAGUAUGUUGAGAUGGAUGUACAGACAUACUAGAUUAGAUCAGAUUAGGAAUGAAGAUAUUCGGAAAAAAUGGCAGUGGCCCUCGUGGAGGACAAGAUGCAUGAGGCGAAGCCAGUAUGGUUCGAGCAUGCGAAGAGGAGAAACAGUGAUGCUUCAUUUAUAAGGUGUGAGAGGUGACCUUGGUGAGUAUACGGAGAGGCAAAAGUAGAAGUAUGCCAAAUAAGUACUAGGGUAAGGUGAUUAGGCAUGAUAAGAAUGGACCUUGGGCCUAGCUCAACCCCAAAAGCUAGCUUAUGAGGUGAGGAUUGCCCAAGCCAUAUAAGGAGACCAAGGACCUCAAAUCCCUCCGAUGAAUAAGUACUAGGGUAAGGUGAUUAGGCAUGAUAAGAAUGGACCUUGGGCCUAGCUCAACCCCAAAAGCUAGCUUAUGAGGUGAGGAUUGCCCAAGCCAUAUAAUGAGACCAAUGACCUCAAAUCCCUCUGAUGUGGGACAACUCAACACCCCCCAGCACGUCCAGAUCUCUGGAGCGUGAACAACAUAAAUAGGGGCCCAAUAUCGGUAACAAUAAUUGGGAUGGGCCUGGCUCUGAUACCAUGAUAAGAAUGGAUCUUGGGUCUAACUCAACACCAAAAGCUAGCUUAUGAGGUGAGGAUUGCCCAAACCAUAUAAGAAGACCAAGGAGCUCAAAUCCCUCCGAUGUGGGACAACUCAACACGUGAAGUGAGGAUUGCCCAAGCUAUAUAAGGAGACCAAUGACCUCAAAUCCCUCUGAUGUGGGACAACUCAACAAGGCAGGACAUAAUGCAACUUCAGAUUGUCGAGGACAUGAUCCUUGAUAGGAGGGUGCGGAGGUCGGGGAUUAGGGUAGAAGGUUAGUAGGUAGUCGAACUUUUUUUUCUUUUCUUUCCCAUUGUCGGUAGAAUUAGUGUUACUAUGGUGUCUUCCUUAUUCUUAGAUUGCUAUUACUACAUAUUGUUUGAUUGCUAUCUUUUGCUUCAGUUUUCUUAAUAUCUUGAUGUUGUUACAGCUUAUUCUCACUGUUUUUUUCCCUCUCUUUCUUGUGUCGAGAAU
rnacentral:lncRNA from 1 species